rnacentral:rRNA from 1 species
AUGAAUCGCCCAGGGAGCCCGCACCUGAUUACAACUUACAAUGAGAGGGAGCAGGUGACGCCCAGGGAGCACAGCAUCCGAGUCCCGGCCAUCCUUCGCAGCAAGGACGAGGAGGGCGUCAAGGGCUGCCACGUCGCCAGAGCCGUCAACAACUACACCUCCCAGCUCCUCACCUACGGAUCAUCAUCACAAUCGCCAUCUUGUAAAUCUUCCCGCCAAUAUAACCUGACGGAAGCGCCCUUGUUCCUCUCACACUUCAUGGGCGACAUCCACAAGGUAGUACUCCUGCCAAACCCCCAAGUGCCCGAUCUUUGCAAGUGUUUCUGUUGCGGGUUGCAACUUAAGCCGAUGCUUCUUGUUUAUGUAGCCACUAAAAUAUGUACUCCACCAUGUAAGGCUAGUUCAGACUUGAGGCUGAACCCUUCUCUGUGUAGUAUGAUUUCGAGGAAACAUAUCUCAAUAAUGCUGAAACUUUUCACGUUGGCGUUGCUAUGUUUGAUGUGGUGGUGCCAAACAAAACUCAUAUGCUUAUGCUGCGCUUACUUUUAA